rfam:Loxodonta africana unplaced genomic scaffold scaffold_7, whole genome shotgun sequence.
CCAGUGGUGGUUAAGUGGUAGAAUUCUUAUUUUCCACACAGGAGACCUGGGUUUGAUUCCCAGACAAUGUA